rnacentral:rRNA from 1 species
GGGAAUUGUUCGCAAUGGGCGCAAGCCUGACGACGCAACGCCGCGUGGAGGAUGAAGACUUUCGGGUCGUAAACUCCUUUCGACCGGGAUGAAUUCUCAUCGACCUAACACGUCGAUGGGGUGACGGUACCUGGUGAAUAAGCCCCGGCUAACUACGUGCCAGCAGCCGCGGUAAGACGUAGGGGGCGAGCGUUGUCCGGAAUCACUGGGCGUAAAGGGCGCGUAGGUGGUCUGAUAAGGGUGUGGUGAAAGCCCGGGGCUCAACCCCGGGUCGGCCGUGCCGACUGUUGGACUAGAGUGCUGUAGGGGCAGGCGGAAUUCCGGGUGUAGCGGUGGAAUGCGUAGAGAUCCGGAGGAAGACCGGUGGCGAAGGCGGCCUGCUGGGCAGAUACUGACACUGAGGCGCGACAGCGUGGGGAGCAA